UGCAUAAAGUAUUUAUGUAUAUAUAAAUACACACACAUGCAUGUAUAUAUUUAAGAAAAAAUAAGUAAUGUUUAUACAUUUAAAAUAUUUCUAUAUAAUAUCAAUUAUAUUAAUAUAAAUAUAUACGUGGAAAUUUUUUUUUCAAAAUAUAUACUGUAUGUGUGUGUAUUUAUAUAGACACAUAAUAAAUAUACACAGUUCACACACACAUACACACACAUAUUAUGUAAACAAAAACUUGACAGCACUAAUAUAUUUACUCUAAUUAACCAAAGUAGUGUGUGUUUAAUUGAGUUUGUUAUUGUUGUUCAAACAGACACCAGGACGCAGCACAAUGAUCAGGUGAAUGGUGUUAAUGAUUUGUCACCUGAUCAGAGUGAUGUUCCACUGAUGGAUGUUGCUCAUGAGAGGUCCUCUAAUCACACUGAUGCUCUAGUGAUGAACACCACCAAUGACUCGUCCUCUAAUCACACUGAUGCUCUAGUGAAGAACACCAACAAUGACUCGUUCUCUCAUCACACUGAUGCUCCAGUGAAGAACACCACCAACGACUCGUCCUCUAAUCACACUGAUGCUCCAGUGGAGAACACCACCAACGACUCGUCCUCUAAUCACACUGAUGCUCCAGUGGAGAACACCACCAACGACUCGUCCUCUAAUCACACUGAUGCUCCAGUGGAGAACACCACCAACGACUCGUCCUCUAAUCACACUGAUGCUCCAGUGACGAACACCACCAACGACUCGUCCUCUAAUCACACUGAUGCUCCAGUGACGAACACCACCAACGACUCGUCCUCUAAUCACACUGAUGCUCCAGUGAAGGACACCACCCAUGACACGUCCUCUAAUCACACUGAUGCUCUAGUGAAGAACACCACCAAUGACUCGUCCUCUAAUCACCCUGAUGCUCCAGUGAAGAACACCACCAACGACUCGUCCUCUAAUCACACUGAUGCUCCAGUGACGAACACCACCAACGACUCGUCCUCUAAUCACACUGAUGCUCCAGUGACGAACACCACCAACGACUCGUCCUCUAAUCACACUGAUGCUCCAGUGACGAACACCACCAACGACUCGUCCUCUAAUCACACUGAUGCUCCAGUGAAGAACACCACCAAUGACUCGUCCUCUAAUCCCGUUGAGAUGGAGCCUGCGGCUGACACAAGCUGCCAUUAAGAUCAACCGUCUUUACACAAUAACACCAACCAGCGUUAACCAGCUCGAGAAAUCAUUUACUUCAUAGUACAUUCUGUAUGCAUGAAUGAUGAGGGUUGUGUUUGAAUUAUGAAAUAGCAUGUGAAACACCUAAUGCCUUAGUCCUCAGGAAAAGUGAUACACAUGAUAAAACAAUAACAAAUAGUCAUGUUUUAUAGUCUUCAUGCAUUUGUUUUCUAUCUUUGAUGAAAUGUGAAAAAAAUCAGAUUGAAACUUUGUGAACAAAACAUUUGUGAUAUUAUGAAGUUGUGCUAAUUAAUUAUGUAAUGAAUGUUUUUUUUUAUGUGUAUAAUCCUCUGACGGAGCCUUUGCUUCUGAUUUGAUUAGAUUUUUUUUUGUAUUGUAUUUGUACUUUUGCACUUUAAGUUUUUGUAUAUUUUUAUACGUUUUAUACAAUUGUUUGUGUUUUUCUGUAAUAAAUGACAUUAAAACAUCA
ensembl:lncRNA